rnacentral:rRNA from 1 species
AUGGCCUCCGCCAACAGCUGGACCCACGAGAUCGAGUCGCCAGUCGCGGCACCGCGCCUGUUUCGUGCCGGCGUCAUGGACUGGCACACUCUGGCACCCAAGCUCGCACCCCACAUCGUCGCCAGUGCCCAUCCCGUCGAGGGGGAAGGCGGCAUCGGCAGCGUCAGGCGGUUCAACUUCACCUCAGCCAUGCCCUUUAGCGUCAUGAAGGAGAGGCUCGAGUUCCUGGAUGCGGAGAAGUGCGAGUGCAAGUCGACCCUCAUCGAGGGCGGUGGCAUCGGCACAGCCAUCGAGACCGCAACGUCGCACAUCAAGGUGGAGCCGGCGGCCAGCGGAGGGAGCUUAGUGAAGGUGGACUCAACGUACAAGCUGCUGCCAGGCGUGGAGGUGAAUGACGAGAUCACCAAGGCCAAGGAGUCCGUCAUGGCCAUCUUCAAGGCUGCCGAGGCCUACCUCAUUGCCAACCCUGACGCCUACAACUGA